UUAAAUUGAAGAGUUUGAUCAUGGCUCAGAUUGAACGCUGGCGGCAGGCCUAACACAUGCAAGUCGAACGGUAACAGGAAACAGCUUGCUGUUUCGCUGACGAGUGGCGGACGGGUGAGUAAUGUCUGGGAAACUGCCUGAUGGAGGGGGAUAACUACUGGAAACGGUAGCUAAUACCGCAUAACGUCGCAAGACCAAAGAGGGGGACCCUCGGGCCUCUUGCCAUCGGAUGUGCCCAGAUGGGAUUAGCUUGUUGGUGGGGUAACGGCUCACCAAGGCGACGAUCCCUAGCUGGUCUGAGAGGAUGACCAGCCACACUGGAACUGAGACACGGUCCAGACUCCUACGGGAGGCAGCAGUGGGGAAUAUUGCACAAUGGGCGCAAGCCUGAUGCAGCCAUGCCGCGUGUAUGAAGAAGGCCUUCGGGUUGUAAAGUACUUUCAGCGGGGAGGAAGGGAGUAAAGUUAAUACCUUUGCUCAUUGACGUUACCCGCAGAAGAAGCACCGGCUAACUCCGUGCCAGCAGCCGCGGUAAUACGGAGGGUGCAAGCGUUAAUCGGAAUUACUGGGCGUA
rnacentral:rRNA from 1 species